GGCCGCCGCAGAGCGGCCAUCUUGGCCCCACAGGGCGCGCUGGGAUCGUUGCCAUGGGGACCGGGCGCCCCUGAGCAGAGCCCCCGCCCCCCUGCAGUCAGGGGAGGAGGCUAGAAAGCGGGGCGCUGCAGUCACACGACUCCAGGAGCUGGGGCUUGGCGGCAUGCAGAUUGAUGUCUCCCCCACUUCCAUGAGACUGGUGCCAGCAGAAAAAAGUUGAUAAGCCCAAAUCCAAGAUGGAAAUAGGAAGGGGACCAAGCCUCUGGGAAACAAGGUGAACUAGGAUCAUCCUACUGGCCACUCUCCAGGAACAGCGUCAUGUCAGCAGGUGAUCAAAAUACUGUAGCUUUCUCUGUGAUAGAUGAUGAAGGCAGGUGCUUAGCCAUUGACAACAGGCAGUGAACCACUUUUCCUUACCCCUCCCAAGCCUCACAGCCUACAUCUACCCUGCUUCCUUCAGCCCUGUCACUAACCAGCAGUAAUACCUCAGACCUGGUACCCAUGUUACAGCG
rnacentral:lncRNA from 1 species